rnacentral:rRNA from 1 species
UGGGGAAUUUUCCGCAAUGGGCGCAAGCCUGACGGAGCAGUACCGCGUGAGGGAGGAAGGCCUUUGGGUUGUAAACCUCUUUUCUUAAGGAAGAAGAACUGACGGUACUUAAGGAAUCAGCAUCGGCUAACUCCGUGCCAGCAGCCGCGGUAAGACGGAGGGCGCUAGCGUUGUUCGGAAUCACUGGGCGUAAAGGGCGCGUUGGCGGCUGUUUAAGUCGAGGGUGAAAGCCCGGGGCUCAACCCCGGAACGGCCUUCGAGACUGGGCAGCUCGAGACCGGAAGAGGAGGGUGGAAUACCCAGUGUAGAGGUGAAAUUCGUAGAUAUUGGGUGGAACACCAGUGGCGAAAGCGGCUCUCUGGUCCGGAUCUGACGCUGAGGCGCGAAAGCGUGGGGAGCAAACAGGAUUAGAUACCCGUGUAGUCC